GGAGGUGGGGGGUGGGGGGGCACAGGAGUGGGGGGUAGUGUUUGUUAACAGUGCGAAUGGCCCAGGGGAAGAAACUGUUUGUGAGUCUGAAGGUGUGGGACCUGAUUGACCUGAGGCACUGACCAGAGGGCAGCGGGUCAAACAGGCAGCCAGGGUGCAAGGGAUCACCUGUGACGGCCCUGGUUUUCCUGAGACAGGAGGAUCUGCUGAUGGCCUCCAGGGGUGGCAUUUGUUUUUUUAAGGUGGUCUUAAUUACCGUCUGUGCAGCCUUCCAGUUCUCUGUUGUGGUCCGUGCGUAGCAAACACCCAGGCAGCAGGAGACCACGCUCUCCACUGAGGAUCGAUGCAAAGCCAGCAGCAGCUUCUGGUCCAGGUUCUUCUUCCUCAGGACACAAAGGAAGUGCAGCUGCUGCUGGGCCUUCUUUAUGGUGUUGUGCAUCCAGGGAUGGGUCCUUCUGCUGCUUCCCACCUUUCACCUCCAUGCACCUGGGAUGAUUAACUCACCUCCUCAGGUUGAAACGCUGAGCUGGCUCCUUCCUCUUGCCCUGGAUGGAGUUCCUCCAUUUGAGCAGUCCUUCCCACUCCCGCCUUUUACCUGGAAAUAAUAUGUGUGGAGUGUGUCAGGCCGGAGGUUCCAACAGUUCUUUCCCAGAUUGUUGUCGCUGCGAUGUUACCAGCUCUGAACCUCCUCACACAUCUUACCUGGAAACCUGCUCACUUGUUGCCUCCAGAAACCCCCAGAACUACUCACCAGCCCCAUGUAAUCUGUCAAAGGAAGGACUUACCCGCUCACCUGCCUGCCCGCUCUUCAAGCGCUUUCUCCGCCACCUGUCUGAUACUCGCCAGCUACCUUCACACUCCCUCUGAGCCUCCCCUCACUUCCAACGCAACCAAGACCUCUGGUUCACUCUCAUUAUUCUCAUCAUCCUCUUGGGUUCCUGUUAAUCUCUUGUCUCCUGUCUAACAGAGCUUCCGUGUACCAGUCUAAAGUGUCUCCGAAUUUCUCCACCAACUGUCUGAACCCAUUAACAAUUCAUUCUUUCACAGUAAACAGUACGAACCUUUCUGCUGUUGUCUGAGUCUGCUCUUUGGGCCCGCUUUUUGCCAUAAUACGACAUUGUCGCU
ensembl:lncRNA